GAUUGUUUCGUUGGUAACAUACCAGGGUGCAUUUAUUAGAGAUCUUAGCGUUUUCGAUUGGAAGCGUUGGAGUAUUUCAAUGUUGGAAUUACUUGCUGUUCCCCAUAGUUGGAUUCCGUAGGUCCAGACAGAUUUUAUUACGGUCUUAUAGAGCGUAAUUUUGUUCUGCGUGCUUAGGUUGGAGCGACGGACAAUGAGCCAAUAAAAUUUUUUGAGUUUGUCUUUGAGUUGAUUCGAUUUGUCUAUGAUGUGUUGUUUCCAUGUUAACCUCCUGUCCAGAGUCAU
rnacentral:misc_RNA from 1 species